GAUGAACGCUGGCGGCGUGCCUAAUACAUGCAAGUCGAGCGAACGGACGAGAAGCUUGCUUCUCUAAUGUUAGCGGCGGACGGGUGAGUAACACGUGGAUAACCUACCUAUAAGACUGGGAUAACUUCGGGAAACCGUAGCUAAUACCGGAUAAUAUUUUGAACCGCACGGUUCAAAAGUGAAAGACGGUCUUGCUGUCACUUAUAGAUGGAUCCGCGCUGCAUUAGCUAGUUGGUAAGGUAACGGCUUACCAAGGCAACGAUGCAUAGCCGACCUGAGAGGGUGAUCGGCCACACUGGAACUGAGACACGGUCCAGACUCCUACGGGAGGCGGCAGUAGGGAAUCUUCCGCAAUGGGCGAAAGCCUGACGGAGCAACGCCGCGUGAGUGAUGAAGGUCUUCGGAUCGUAAAACUCUGUUAUUAGGGAAGAACAUAUGUGUAAGUAACUGUGCACAUCUUGACGGUACCUAAUCAGAAAGCCACGGCUAACUACGUG
rnacentral:rRNA from 1 species